GUGUUUUGAGUGUUGUUUUGGUCAAUUGCAGACAAAGUCAUAGAAGACAAUUGUAGGACUAAAACCUCUUUUGUAAUUCAGGACUCAUUGUUCAGGAUGAGUUUUGAUGCAUUUGGAAAAGGAAUAUG